rnacentral:lncRNA from 13 species
AUGCUGACUGGUGAUAUGACUGAGGUGUUCAUCAUCAGUGGAAACACAGUGCUGAGUGUUAGAGAGGAACUCAGUGUAUUAAUCAACUAUUCACCCUCAUCUCUUUGUCCUGUCCUGUCAUUUCUCCUCCCUCAUUCUCUUUCUCUUCAGGAGAGCGAGGGAGAGGAUGAUAGAGUUUGCCCGUACGAGAGAGGGAGGAAAGGAGGAGGGGAUGGAGGGAUGGGGCGAGGCCUGUUCUCUGGGGAAUGGGUUUGGGGGAGACGGGGGAGGAGAUGGGAGAGAGUGGCCCUCCGUGGGGGACAAACAGCAGCAGUGUCCCCCUCCCCCUGGCCCUCCCGCCCCUCGACCCCCCUCCUCAACCACGCUAGACUCCAUAUCUGGAGAGUUCGCCCUCGUCAUCAACGGACAUAGCCUGGUGAGACGACACACACACUCACACCAAUGAUGUAUAUAAGCCCUGGAUUGCUGUUGCUAUGUAAUGGCCAAUGAGAGGCUUUGAUGCCACUGGUCGGCCAUAUUGGCACUGCCCCAAAGGAGCAGUCCUCCAUUGGAAUGAAUGGAUUUAUUUACAUGUAUUUAAGUGUUUUUGUUGUAGUGGGGACAGUAAAAUUUGUACUUUUUAAAAAUUAUACUUGUUUUUAUAUAUGUCCUUUUUAUGUUUAGCUCACAUAAUAUAAUUUCAAAGUCUGCAUUACGGUGUCUGUAAUAGAAUAAACAUGACAAAAACAAAUGUAGAAAUUAAUAAAUGUAUUUCUAUACCUUCCUAAAUGUGUUUUACACUGGUGAGGGAGAGCCAAGAUGGAGGCGCGGUGGCUUAAAAACAGCUGCCCUAGUAAUCUAGGGGAUAUAUAACCCACUAGAUAUACAAACACUACUUGUGCAAUAGAAAACAUGGCGCUCAUAACAAAUCUAAAAUAUCCAAACAAGUUCUCUCUCUCUCUCUCUCUCUCUCUCUCUCUCUCUCUCUCUCUCUCUCUCUCCCUCCCUCCCUCCCUCUCUCUCUCUCCCUCUCUCUCUCUCUCUCCCUCCCCAUCUCCCUCUCUCUCUCCCUCUCCCUCUCCCUACCCCUCAUUCUCUCUCUCCCUCCCCCUCUCUCUCUCCCUCCCUCUCUCUCUC